rnacentral:tRNA from 1 species
GGAGAGGUAUCGAAGCGGUCAUAACGAGGCGGUCUUGAAAACCGUUUGGCGCAAGCCACGUGGGUUCGAAUCCCACCCUCUCCGCCA